GAAGAGUAUGGCCAGUGCUGGGAGAGGCAGACAAGCAAGCAAUAAACCCAUGUGAACUAGGAGUCACAAGACUAAUAGUCCUGGGCAGUAAAAGGUUUUCAC